CUCUCCCCACCAGAAACGGCCGCUCCACCAUCAUUGUCAUUAAUGGCGCCGCCGCUUCCUUUCCCUCCCACCAACACCGCCUCAGCUCCCUCCCUCCGCCUAUAAAUCGAGCGCCCAAGCCCCGGAUGUCGCUGUUGCUCGCCUUGCCCGACCGUGCCGUUUGCCUCCCUGUUGCGCCGCCGCGUGCCAAGUUGCUCCGCCUUGCUCCAGUCGCCGCACGCAGCUUCC
rnacentral:lncRNA from 1 species